UGGGGAAUCUUGCGCAAUGGGCGAAAGCCUGACGCAGCAACGCCGCGUGAGCGAAGAAGGCCUUCGGGUUGUAAAGCUCUGUCAGGAGGGACGAAGCCACUCGGGUGAACAGCCCAGAGGGUGACGGUACCUCCAGAGGAAGCCCCGGCUAACUACGUGCCAGCAGCCGCGGUAAUACGUAGGGGGCGAGCGUUGUCCGGAAUCAUUGGGCGUAAAGCGCGUGUAGGCGGCUUGGCAAGUCUGGUGUGAAAGCUCGAGGCUCAACCUCGAGUCUGCACCGGAAACUGCCUUGCUAGAGUCCGGAAGAGGAGACUGGAAUUCCUGGUGUAGCGGUGAAAUGCGCAGAUAUCAGGAAGAACACCGGUGGCGAAGGCGGGUCUCUGGGACGGUACUGACGCUGAGACGCGAAAGCGUGGGGAGCAAACAG
rnacentral:rRNA from 1 species